UUCCUCUUGUUCUGCCCUUGAUAUAUACUUCUCGCAAUGUACAACAUGUAUAUCAUGGUGUGUGUACUUUUCAAAUUUCUUCCAAGUUAGUGAAUUCACUUCUGUGCAUGAUCCAACGCUUUUGAUUAUAUAUGAUAUGUCCAGUUUAUUUCUUUCUUUUCUUUUUUCUGGCUGAGUUGUUAUGUUCAGAUACAAAUGCUGAAGUACUUGUGCAAUCUUUGGCAAAGUUUGCUCGUCCAGUUGUCCUCUUUAAAUUAUGGUGUUAACCAAAGGUUCUUUCUUCAACUAUGGGUACUAAGCGUCGUAUAUGGGCAGAUAACUUUGAGUGGAUAUGGGCCAUUACUUCAAGCUAUCUGAAUUGGAAUUGCUAUACAUGACUUGAGUAGGUAUAUACAAUGCACUGCAAACAAAAUUGUGUGUAAGGCCACAGCUAAGUUAAAGACCUUGCUACUGCCUCAACAAUCUCAAGAGCACAUAAAUUCUUCCAAGA